rnacentral:rRNA from 1 species
UACGGAGGAUGCGAGCGUUAUCCGGAUUUAUUGGGUUUAAAGGGUGCGUAGGCGGGAUGCCAAGUCAGCGGUAAAAAUGCGGUGCUCAACGCCGUCGAGCCGUUGAAACUGGCGUUCUUGAGUGGGCGAGAAGUAUGCGGAAUGCGUGGUGUAGCGGUGAAAUGCAUCGAUAUCACGCAGAACUCCGAUUGCGAAGGCAGCAUACCGGCGCCCUACUGACGCUGAGGCACGAAAGCGUGGGUAUCGAACAGG